rnacentral:rRNA from 1 species
AUUGAACGCUGGCGGCAGGCCUAACACAUGCAAGUCGAACGAGUGGCGGACGGGUGAGUAAUGUCUGGGAAACUGCCUGAUGGAGGGGGAUAACUACUGGAAACGGUAGCUAAUACCGCAUACCAUCAGAUGUGCCCAGAUGGGAUUAGCUAGUUGGUGGGGUAACGGCUCACCAAGGCGACGAUCCCUAGCUGGUCUGAGAGGAUGACCAGACACACCGGAACUGAGAACCGGUCCAGGAUCCGAAGGGGGGGAGGAGGUGGGAAAAAUGGACAAUGGGCGCAAGCCUGAUGCAGCCAUGCCGCGUGUAUGAAGAAGGCCUUCGGGUUGUAAAGUACUUUCAGCGGGGAGGCGUUACCCGCAGAAGAAGCACCGGCUAACUCCGUGCCAGCCGCCGCGGUAAUAC